GACGAACGCUGGCGGCGUGCUUAACACAUGCAAGUCGAACGGAAAGGCCCUGCUUUUGUGGGGUGCUCGAGUGGCGAACGGGUGAGUAACACGUGAGUAACCUGCCCUUGACUUUGGGAUAACUUCAGGAAACUGGGGCUAAUACCGGAUAGGAGCUCCUGCUGCAUGGUGGGGGUUGGAAAGUUUCGGCGGUUGGGGAUGGACUCGCGGCUUAUCAGCUUGUUGGUGGGGUAGUGGCUUACCAAGGCUUUGACGGGUAGCCGGCCUGAGAGGGUGACCGGCCACAUUGGGCCUGAGAUACGGCCCAGACUCCUACGGGAGGCAGCAGUGGGGAAUAUUGCACAAUGGGCGGAGGCCUGAUGCAGCAACGCCGCGUGCGGGAUGACGGCCUUCGGGUUGUAAACCGCUUUCGCCUGUGACGAAGCGUGAGUGACGGUAAUGGGUAAAGAAGCACCGGCUACUUACGU
rnacentral:rRNA from 1 species